rnacentral:rRNA from 1 species
UGAGGAAUAUUGCGCAAUGGGCGAAAGCCUGACGCAGCGACGCCGCGUGGAGGAUGAAGGUCUUAGGAUUGUAAACUUCUGUUAAGCGGGAAGAAAGACGAAGUGUUAAUACCAUUUUAUGAUGACGGUACCGCUAAAGAAAGCACCGGCUAACUUCGUGCCAGCAGCCGCGGUAAUACGAAGGGUGCGAACGUUAUUCGGAUUUAUUGGGCGUAAAGGGUACGCAGGCGGUGCGUUAAGUCAACUGUUAAAUCUCCCGGCCUAACUGGGAAUCAGCGGUAGAUACUGGCGCACUAGAGGAUGGAAGAGAGAAGUGGAAUUCUUGGAGUAGAGGUAAAAUUCGUAGAUCUCAAGAGGAACACCGAUGGCGAAGGCAGCUUCUUGGUCCAUUUCUGACGCUCAUGUACGAAAGCGUGGGGAGCAAACAGGAUUAGAUACCCAUGUAGUCCCUGAGCGGGCUGGCAAGGCGCAU